CCUACGGGAGGCUGCAGUGGGGAAUAUUGGACAAUGGGGGAAACCCUUAUCCAGCGACGCCGCGUGAGGGAAGAAGGUUUUCGGAUUGUAAACCUCUGUCAGUGGGGACGAUAAUGACGGUACCCACGGAGGAAGCCACGGCUAACUACGUGCCAGCAGCCGCGGUCAUACGUAGGAUCCGAGCAUUAUCCGGAGUGACUGGGUGUAAAGAGUUGCGUAGGUGGCAUAAUAAGUAGCUAGUGAAAUCUGGUGGCUCAACCAUUCAGACUAUUAGCUAAACUGUUAAGCUCGAGACCGUUAGGGGUAACUGGAAUUUCUAGUGUAGGAGUGAAAUCCGUAGAUAUUAGAAGGAACACCAAUAGCGUAGGCAGGUUACUGGGACGGUUCUGACACUAAGGCACGAAAGCGUAGGGAGCAAACGGGAUUAGAUACCCCUGUAGUC
rnacentral:rRNA from 1 species